rnacentral:rRNA from 1 species
UACGUAGGGUGCGAGCGUUAAUCGGAAUUACUGGGCGUAAAGCGUGCGCAGGCGGUGAGCUGUGUCCGAUGUGAAAGCCCCGGGCUUAACCUGGGAAUGGCAUUGGAAACUGGCUCGCUGGAGUGUGGCAGAGGGGGGUGGAAUUCCGCGUGUAGCAGUGAAAUGCGUAGAGAUGCGGAGGAGCACCGAUGGCGAAGGCAGCCCCCUGGGCUAACACUGACGCUCAGGCACGAAAGCGUGGGGAGCAAACAGG